UUCAAAAGAAAGGAGAAAACUAAGUAUUUUCUCUCGCUCUACCUUCUUCCACCAACCAAUAAACUCUGGCCUGAAGAAGAUAAAAAUAAAAGUGAAUAGAUGAGUAAGGCCGAUCGAGGAGACCAUUUGCGAUUUACAUAAUCAAGAUUCUCUAAGCUUACAUCGCGCUAAGUAUUGAGUAGAUGUCAAAACGCGCUCUAAACAAUGGAAACUACAUGAGCACGAGAAUAAGGAACAAGUCGACAAGAUGGGCACAACUUUCUAAAGCUUGUUCACCAUAACUCCCAUUCAUAAAAAAUAAGGAGAGUUUAGCUAGAUUCGCCGACAUUAACGAAUACACGGACCUCAAUAAGAGGCCCUCAACAGCCAGCCUUCCUAACCAACUCGUACAAUUUAUACCAUCAACGUGAAGCCCCUAAGUCCUUUCCAGGAACAUUUCUCUUCAUCAAUCCUGCAGAUCCCGAUUCAAACAACGGAUGACUCCAAUUCAUCAAUCAUGUGUCUGUAUACCCACAUUCAUUGAAUGGCCUCGACUGACUAUUCCCACCCCUCUAUUAGUUGGUCAUUGACAACGACAAGGGUCUGCUUCAUGCUCUGUUUUCCUUUGGACUUAGGACAUUCUCGGAACAACAAUUAGUCUGUCCUUAUAUAUUGGUGAGUGGUUGCUCGGUUCAUUCGGAUUGACCUAUUGGUUUACGAAGUGCCAUAACAAAUUGUGAUUUAGUGAUUUAAACCAAGUGAGCCAAAUUCAGGAAGUAAUAGAAAUCUGUCACGCAAGCUACUGCGCAAACUUUGUAAAUCGAUCUCAUUUCUCGCUUUGCUCUAAACUUAUUAUUUGUACAAACACUGCAGAUUAUCAUAGUUAUUCAUUGAUCAACCGCAACAAUACGUUGAUCUCCCCUUUGUUUAGCAUGGUCUAAUGAAGCUUUUUGGUCUUGUUUCAAACAGAAGGUUCUGAAAUUCCGUUUGGGAAAAAACGGAACAAUGUUCAGUUAUAAAGACAAUAUGUAACACUAUCAGUAAAAUCUAAAUGCUGUUGAUAAAUUUGUGCAACUGGUAACCUAUUGUCGUUCAGGCAUUUCCAUGUAAUCUGUGAAUGAUAUUAGCGGCUUACUAACGUCAUGCAAUAAUACCUUAUCAAUCCAUGGUGGAUAUGAUUUUCUAAAGGCCGGUCUCACUUGGACUUCGCAGGUUUGGACCAUGAACACUAAAAGCCUAAUAGAAGAAGAGAGCUAUCUAUGCAAUCCUGAGCAUUGUAAUCUUGAGGGAACCCGUCUCGAGUAGCUUAAUGAAUGGGCAUAAGACGUGUAGGACUCAGUCACGAGCCUCACAGAGAAGAUAUUUCUAGUGAGUUCACUAUUCAAUAGCUAAAGUCUGAUUCCCGUGCUUUGCAAGGUUACUUCUUGUGGAAUCAGAGCGCAUUGCGGCAGACAGAAACUAGAGGCCAACAAAACUCUAGAAGAAAAAGUUUAAUAUGUCCCGCGUAACUCACGUUCCAAUCAUUGAACUUUUCGACGCAGCUGAAGACUUUUAAGACCUCUUGUUCACAAAUAUUUUCUCAUUUUAAGAUCACUUUAUCGUGGAAAAAGAAUGACAGAGACCCUCGUUCAGCGACCAGGGCAAAGUAACACCGAGCUUCUCAAACAUUCAAUUAGCCACCACGGUCAUCUCACUUCUGUGAACCACGGUCAUUUCACCGAGCAGGUCCUUUCUCUCUUGCCGCAAGCCACAUAUUCGGUCCAAGUAUGGUCAAUGGCUCUCCAUUCUCAUUUUUGAAAAUUGAAACAUUUCUAAUUAAAUAUGUUUAAUAAGUUCUUCGGGAGACACUUGUUAAUAAUUUUUUUUUCUUAUUUGCAAUAGUGUGGGGCUUGUUACACACACACACACACACACACACACACACACACACACAUACACAUAUAUAUAUUUAACGUUUACUAAUAAUAUUCGUUCUUUGAGAGAUGCUUGUUAAUGAUAUACUUGCAAUCCUCGACGGAAAAAAAAAAAAAAAAAAAGAGAGGAGAAAAUAAUACACUAUUUACUUCAUGGAAAAUGAAUGAUUUAAAAAAUAUUUUUCUGAAAAUGAUCAUUUGUAUUAUUUAUAAAAGUGAACAAAUAUUCAUUGUUCACAAAAAUAUUUAGGCAUAAAUUGCUGUCAAUAAUGAAAAUAUUUUCCACUUACUAAUUAUUUCAAGUGGUACAACAUAUCAUUUUUAAGAAAAUAUUUUUCAAAUCAUUUAUUUUUUUGUGAAACAAAUAGAGCCGAAGUCCUCACAUCCUCUUUCAUUGCAUAUAAUUUACAUUCCGAUGAAGAUCAAUUAAGUUGCCAAGUCUCUGGCUUAAGAUCAGCAACAUUGAUUAGCAGCGAUUUCAUUCUGUGUAUAAGAGAAAUAGAAUCUUUCACACCAACUAGAAGAAAGGAACGAAGUUCCUUUCAUACGGUGAUGGCAAUGACUGAUCAUGGCUUUCAGGAAUUUUUAUGUUAAGAUACAACUCACACACAGCAACUUUGUACUUGCGAUGCAUCUGAGUUUCCAUUCUCUAAAAUGGCUCCCAUUUUUUUUUCUAGCGGGAGCUAGACUCUGAGGUCGCUACCUCGUCAUCACUAAUCCAAUUCCGGCUUUUGAUUAUUCCCACAUGAAGCUUCCCAGCUAUCAAAACAACUUUCAUGGCUGUUGACCGCAGAGUCGAGAGGACCUUGUGCAGUGGACUGGAACAUCAAAAGGUUGAUGCCAUUGUCUUGGAGUUUGCAGAGGAAAUUUCUUAUGAAAGUGAUGCCGCUGAAGUUGACAGUGCCUAUCAUCUGCAUAUGCAGACUGUUUCUGGGGUCCAACUUUCACUUUCAGAAAGGAUUGAUUCUGAUGAGAACGCGCUUACUUAUUCUAUUGCCCACAGGACACUGUCAGACAAUUAAGGGUGAAGACCUGAUCGUUGACUUCGAGUCUUCAUGCGUCUGUAUUCCGACAUUCGCUGGAUGGCCUCGACUGACUUUCCAACCCUCUCUAUCGGUCAUUUACAGCUACAAGGGUCACCUUCAUGCCUCGUUUUCCUUUGGACUUAGUCGGUACCAGGAACAACGACUGAUUUGUCCUUAUACAAAUUGUGCGGCUAGGCAUAAAAUUGGUUUAUCAAGUGCCGUAACAAAUUGUGUGAUUAGGGAUAAAAUUGUUUGACGUUUCCGUUUAGGAAAAGACGGAGCAAUAUUCCGUUAGAAAAUAUGUAAAAGUAUUAGUAAGAUCUACCCGCUGGUAAAUUUGUACAACUGGAAAUUUGUUGUUCAAGUACUUACAUGUAAUUUAUGAAUGAUCAGCGACUUAAUCCGAUCAUAUAAUAAUUACGUAUUAAAUUUCUUUAUACAUUUACCACACAAAAUUAAAUAUAGUGGUGUAAAUAACAAGUUAACAUUGAAACUAAUAACGAACACACACAUAUAUAUACAUAUAUAGAACAUCGAUCUGCUUUUGAGGUAGUAGGUUAUCUCCAGAAUAAUUAAUUUACCACUGAAAUUAUUCUACUAGGAAUUUAUAAUGGUAAUACUUUUAUUUUGUUUGUAAGUUACACCUAGCUAAUUGACAAUACUAGUAAGUAACUUGUAAUCUAUUAACGGGAAAAGCGCGCCCACUCGUAAAGCUAAACGAUUGUUCGUAAUCUACAAGUCUAUUUAUGCUUAGUAAAUUGGUUAUUUCAUUAGUAUGUCACUAACAAAUUAACGUCGUUAUUCAUAAGACGUGAAAUAAUGCUAAUAAUAUACUAAGAAUUUAUAGUGGUAAGAUUGUUAUUUUAUUCGUAAGUUACAAUUGUUGAGCGACACUACUCGUAAACUAUGUAAGCAAUUCCUAAUCUACUAGCGAUAAGACACGCCCAUUUGAAAAAGUGAUGACUAUUCGGAUCUACACCAACCCGGUAUAUUGGUCAGUUGGUUAGUAUGUUAUUAACAAAUAAACGUUCGCACUCGUUAAACCAAAAAGAACAUCAAUAAUCUAUUCAUAAUUUAUACUGGUAAAAUUAUUGUGUUGGUAACUUAUUAUUAACAAAUGAAGGGGACCGCUUACAAAUUCAAAAAACAAUCAAAGAUCUACUAUUAGGAUUGAGGAUUAUAAGAUGGUCAUUUUUCAUCACUUACUAACAAUUAAUCCGAUCGAUAAAUUCUUAGUAUUUUUAGAUAUUUCAAAUUUGUUAUCGGUUAUUCAAAUUUAACGAGGAAACUUGUAGAAAGGACAAUGAAAUGGCUAUCGCAAAAAUGAAGCAACGAAACCGUAAGUUUGCAAAACUAAAGCCCACUAGUUGCGUGACUCAAUUUCGAAGUGGACCGAAGGGGUGUGCAGUGAGAUUAGAUAUGGCCUGUAAUUUAGGUGUGGUUUAGCCAUCUCAUUGACAAGAGAUUUAUAGAGGAUUGGGAUUUUGGAGAGAAUCUACUUGUUUUGGUCUCAAAAAUCAUUUAUUGAUUGCCUUUAUGAUUAAUUUGCAAAAUUGGUAGCGUAUUCAAAAAACUAAAAAGCAAGAAAGAUGUAUGCAUUCUUCUAAGCGUUAUCUCUACGGCAGAAUUAAAUGAAAAAUUAAUCAUAGUCAAUUUGAUUUUCUACACCAAGCAAAAGAAAAUGAUUGCGGAAGGAGCCCCACAUCGUUGCCGUAAAGUACACACGAGAAAAUUAUCUGUGGGAAAUAAGAUAAGAGAAGCAUGUGAAUAGUGUAAAAUGCUCCCAGUAAAUCCAUCAAUUAUCCAAAGGUAGUACCCCUGCCCUGGACCAUCAUGCGAUACCUAGGCAGUUUCUGCUUUGUGCUCUUUCAACAAAGACAAUAAAUUCUGCGGAUCUUUUCUUAGGAUGGUCAUAAGUUUGUGCUAAAAGUUUAGGAAAUUUACAAUUAGCAAUUAAUUCAUAUAUGUAAUUUCAUAUUAAUCUCUGCCGAUUUAGAUCUCUCAAAACUGAUAUUAAUUAGAAAGUAACGGUUAGCUUCGUAUUAUUUAGCGAUCACACUUUAUCCAAUUUCAACACACUUCAAGACUUACGAGAAAAAAAGAGGUAUCGGUGCUUUUUCUUGCUUUUCUUGACCUUUUGGAGUUUGAGUAAUACAAUUUUCUAAUGGUUGUAUUCUACUAGUAAAGAUGACCCAGGAAUGAUAGAUUGGAUAAAGUAUAAUGCGUCAUAAAUAAUGUGCACAUUUCUGGCACAUCAAAGUGAAAAUUACGUUAUAUAUAGAUGUUAUCUACCUCCCAUAAAUGGCUUUUUCGUUAAUGAGCUGCAGUUCCAAUUUUGAUCGCAUAUAAUCAAAUUUCUUUCAUUGAUGAAGUCUUGAUGCUUUUUGCUAGUAAACAAAUCUCUAAACAAUCUGUAUUCUACACUGAAAUUCUUGAUGAUCCAUAACCAUUUAUAAAUUGCUACUCAUUGUGCUUGUUUCAUAAAAGCUACUAAAUUAAUAAUACCAUUUGUACGGAUCACUAAGACAAUGUGUUUCUUCGUAAGUUAUACCAAACCUAGAUUCACAUAAAAGAUAACAAGGGGACAGAACCAUUUGACAAUUGUAUAUCAAUCCGUAAUGAUGUUGUCAUCUGCUAUGGCCACAUGUUCUUUAUUUUGCACGAAUUUCACAUCAGAAGUGACAUAUUGACUUUGAGUCCACCACCGUUGCCCCGGGUUUUGGUUUGGGAACAACUUUCUACCCCAUGUUUUGGUUUGAAAACAACUAAAAACUUGUUUCCAAAGUUUUCAAAAAGUCAAGGCUAAUUAUGAUAAACCACUUUCCAGGAUUCAAAGGAUUACAGUUUUUCCGAGAAUUUGUACCAAACACAUCAAUUUUGGCAAGUGAACAUGAAAAAAUAACAAUUUUUUUUUUUUAAAAUCAACAAGACCCAAAAUAUAGAUUCCACAAUAAGCCUAGUUGACCGCGUUCAGUUUACAAGGAGAUUUGAUUCUGCACCCCGAUCAACAAAAAUUUCCACCUAGAGGCCUUCGAUUCAUGACAUCUUUCAGAAAAUUUUGCAUCUAGAUGAUUCAACCUAAAGAAAGAGUCCUACCACUACUCCAAAUGUACACAAUGACUAAUUUUUGGUCAGACUUAACAUUCCAACGUAUCCUCAACGCGACAUAAUUUUGCAUCCAGACAAUCCGAUUUGACGCGCAUCGUCUUGAAUCUUGACUUCCAAGUUGGCAGAGGAAAUUUCUUAUGAAAGUAAUGCUGCUGUUUGACAGUGCCUAUUAUCUGCAUUUGCAACUUGUUUCUGGGGUCCAAUUCUCGCUUUUAAAGGAUUGAUGAGGACGCGCUAUUUUCAUUAUCCACAGGACACUGUCAGAUAAUUAAGGGCGAAGACCUUAUCGUUAACGUUGAGUCAACAUGCAUCUGUAUUCCAACAUUCAUUGAUUGGCCUUGACCGACUUUUCCAACCAUUCGUGGACGAGGGCGAAGAGCUGAUCGUUGACUUUGAAUCAACAUGUGCAUGAAUGCCGAUGUACAUUGAAAGGCCUCGACAGACUUUUCCAGCCCCCUCUAUCGGUCAUUUACAGCAACGACGGAUUUCUUCAUGCUCCGUUUUCCUUUGGACUUAGUCGGUACCAGGAACAGCAACUAGUUUGUCCUCAUACAUUGAUGAGCAGCGCUAGAAGCAGUGGCAUUAGUUCAUAAAAUUGGUUAAUUGCGUGCAUUAGGCAUUUUUUUGACCCAAAAAAAAGUGCAUUAGGCCUUUAAACAAGUGAGACAUAUUCAAACAAUAACAGAAGUCCAUCAUACGAAUAAACAAACUUCAUAAAUCAAUUUUAUUUCUUUCUUUACUUCAAAUUUAUUAUUUGAAUAGAGACAACAGAUUAUCAUAAGAAUCGACUUUUGAUACAUACACAUAAGAAUACUAAUACCGAAUUUUCUAUUUGUCUGAGAUUAUUUUCCAUACGUUGAUGUCCUCUUUAUUUAGCAUGGUGGUCUUUUUGGACGUUACGUAACAAUGUUACUUGAUAUAGACAAUAUGCCAGGCUUUUGGUAAGAUCUAAAUUCUGCCGGUAAAUUCGUACAACCAUUAAUCUAUUGUUCAAGUACUUACAUGUAAUUUACAAAUAACGUCGGCGGCUUACUACCAUCAUGCAAUAAUUACUCGUUAAAUUUCUUUUAUACAUUUACCACUCAAAACUAAAUCUAAUAGUGUAAAUAACAAAUUAACAUUGAAAUUAAUCACGCAUAAAUACAAACAUAGAUCAGUUUUUAAGGGAGUAAGUUAUCACUGGAUACUAAAAUACUAGGAAUUUAUGAUGGUAAAAUUUUCAUUUUGUUUCUAAGUUACAAGUAGUUAAUUGACAGUACUAGUAAAGUAUGUAAUCAACUUGUAGUCUAGUAACGCAAAUACGCACCCGCUUGUAAAAAUGAAUGAUUGUUCGUAAUCUACAAGUGUAUUUAUGCCCGGUAAAUCGAUUUCUUCAUUAGUAUGUUACUAACAAAUUACAUUAUUACUCAUAAGAUUUAAAUAAUGCUAAUAAUUUACUAGAAAUUUAUAGUGAUAAAAUUGUUAUUUUGUUUGGAAGUUACAACCGUUCAACGACACUACUCGACGUACUCGUAAACUCUAUAAGCAAUUCCUAAUCUACUAGCGACAAAACACCGCAUUUGUAAAAAUGAAUGACUAUUCAUAAUUUACAUCAACCUAGUAAAUCAGUUUAUUCGGUUAGUACGGUAUAGAAAAAUAAACGUUGGUACUCAUUAAACCAAAAAAACAUCAAUAAUCGAUUCAUAAUUUAUAUUGGUAUAUGUUGGUAACUUAUUAUUGAAUAAUGAAGGGGACCACAUACAAAUUAUAAAAACAAUAAGUGAUCUACUAUUAGGAUUAAAGAUUAUAAAAUGGUCAUUCCAUUCAUCACUUACUAACAAUUAAUCAAUCGGACUGAUAAGUUUCCAGUAGUUUGCUUACUAACAUAUAUUUCAAAUUUGCUAUCGGUUAUCCAAAUUUAACGUUGAGGAAACUCCCGGAAAGCACAAUGCAAUGGCAAUCGCAAAAACGAAACAACGAAAUUGUGAGUUUGCAAAACUAAAGCCCACGAGUUGCAUGACUCAAAGCAGAAGUGGACCGAAGGGAUGAGCAGGGAGAUUAAUAAAGGAUGAGAGAUGUGAUGUGUAAUUUAGGCAUGGUUUAACCAUCUCAUUAACAAGAGAUUUAUAGAGUAUCGGGAUUUUGGAGAGAGCCUACUUGUUCUGGUCUCAAAAGUCAUUUAUUGAUUACUUUUAUGAUUAAUCUGCAAAAUUGGUGUUGCAUUAAAAAAAAAAAAAAAAGGAGCAAGAAAGAUGUAUACAUUCUUCUAAGCGUUAUCUCUACGGCAGAAUAAAAUGAAAAAAUUAAUGAAAGUCAAAUUGAUUUUCCACAACAGGCAAAUGAAAAUGAUUACGGAAGGAGCACGCCAUUGUUGGCGUAAGGUACACACGAGAAAAUUAUCUGUGGGAAAUUGGAAUGUGUAAAAGAUAAGAGAAGUGUGCGAAUAGUGUGAAAUGCUCCCAGUAAAUCCAUCAAUUAUGCAAAGAUGGUUCCCCUGCCCUGGACCAUUGUGCGAUACUUAGGCAGUUUUUACUUUGUGCUCUUUCAACAAAGACAAUAAAUUCUGCAGAUUUUUUUUUUUUUGGAGUAUAGUCAUAAGUUUGUGCUAAAAGUUUAGGAAAUUUGCAAUUAGCAAUUAAUUCAUAUAUAUAAUUUCAUAUUAAUCUCUAUCGAAUGUGAUUUCUCGAAACUGAUAUUAAAUAAAAAGUAAAGGCUGGUUUCAUAUUAAUUGGCUAUUACACUUUAUCCAUUUUCGAUGCACUUUCAAGACUCGCGAGAAAAAAAAGGUAUCAGUGCUUUUUCUUUCGUUUCUUGCCCUUUUGGAGUGUGAUAUCCUGAUUUAUCGAUUCUAUUUUCAAUAAAUUGAGACGGGCAUUUCGUUGGCACGCAUAUAGUUCUUUUCCUUGAGUCAGCCACUCAUGUGAAAACUAGUCUAUUGGGUGAAGCCGUUAAGAGUUUCUAAUGCAUCAGACUCGAGAAUUUGAUCAGGAAGUGACCUUUCGACCGAGCUAAUCUGCAAGGGUCAUUACGGCACAAUUAAAAAUCGAUUAGAGAUCGGAGAUAGGUCGACUCGAUAGAGGCAUGUGAUCAGGUAUGGGUGAUUCCACCAGAUCGCACAAUUCUUGUCGAUCGGCACUAGACCGACUUUUCUAUCGAUUGGGUACCCUGUGUUCGUAUUUGAAACCUUAAGAUUACCCCGACAACCAAAAGUCGCCAAUGUUUCAAAGAUGUACAUUGUGGCUUAAGAUGAUCAACCACAGGUCAAAUGCAUGAAAAUUUCUAAAGGCUACCCGGUAGAUUGGGCCACGCUAGUAUCGUGCCAAAGUGAAAUUAACCGUGGAAUCGAGAUCGAAUUCAGAAAUUGGAAGUCUUGGUGUGUCACAAAUCAUUUUAGGAACAUUGACUAAUCUUCGGAAGAUUUUUUUUUCAUGCAAUCAGAAUUUUUCAGAGAUUAAAUCAGAGAAUGGCUAUUUUGGCUCGAGAAAUUAGUAGGCCCGCCUUUGGUCUUGCUUUUGGGACUUAAGUUGAUUCUAUGGACAAGUGAAGAUGUGAAUUGAAGUGUGGUGACAUUGGAUUAAUUUUAUGAACUUCAAUUGGACUCAAUUGAAAGAGAAUUGAAUGGAAUUGGAGAAAUUAGUGUACAAGAAUUGGACCCCGGCGGAAAAUGAAAUUGCAACCAUUGAAAAAUGUUGUGGGAGGUUUGGAGAUAGUGGGAUAUGACAUCACUUGAUGAUGUCAUGGUGGGCCAUUGUGUGGGAUUAAACAAAGAGAAAAAGAGAAAAGAAAAAUGGUCCCAUCUCUCUCUCCCCUUCCUCUCUCUCCUCCUUCCCUCUCUCCCGUCGCCUUUCUCCUUCAUCUCCACGGUGCGAAGACCAGAAAAUUUGCAGAGGGAGAAGCCGAAGCAGUCCUUCGCCGUCCGCCUCCUUCGCCGCUCGUCGCUCGCCGCCGUUCGCGCGCGCAGCCACACGUCCGCUCACCGUUGCCCUCUCUCCUCCAUCUUCUUCUUCUUGCUGCUCGAGAUCUCAGAUCUGGUCGGACGCCAAGCAGAAGCAGCAGCCAACGUCGCCCGGAGCCGUCGCACUCCUCCGCCUGUCCCCGUUCGCCGCCGUCGUGCGUCGCCGUCGCUGCUCGUCCGCCCGCGCUCGCCCGCGCUUGGCCGACGCCCAACCGCCUCCGCCCCUGUUCGCGCGUUCCACGAGCUGCCGGAGCUCGUCUCCGCCACCGAAGGGUUGCCGAAGCUGCCGCCAAUCACCACCUGAGCUGCCGCCGUCCAUCUCCGCCGGUUUUUGCGCCUCACCAGCCACCGGAUCCGCUCCGUCUCGGCCCCAAACAAAAGCUGGAAAAAUGGGUAUGGCAGCGGACAUUUGGCCCGUUUUGGCCGCCUUCCCGAGCCCGGAUGCUCGGCCCCCCUUGAGGAAAGUCAAUCCUCACGUCGUCCUCGUCGUUUUGGUCCGCUCGGCUCGCUAAUCCGGUGAGUUUAACUCACUAAAUCUUGAUUAGAGGGUUAAUGAUGCCCUAAGUGUGCUUAGUCUAAGUUAAGUAAGUUUAUGUGGUUAGAUUAGUUUAUUUGGUUGAUGAUUAGAUUAGGGUGUUUAAUUAAGUUAAAGUGUGUUUAGUUUAAGGUUAAGUAUGUUUAUCUUUAAUAUAAAGCCUUGAUGUGACAUAAUAGGAUUUUAUUUUUGAAUUAUUUAAUGAUUUCGAAUUCUGGAAUUUAUAAUAUUAUAUUAUAUUUCGAAAUUAUUAAAAUAUUAUUAUUUAAUUAUUUUCGGAAUAAAUUUAAUUAUUUAUUAAAUUCCGAAAAUUUUGUCAAGACCCUAAAUUCUCAGAAUUUCGUGCCGAUCGCUGCUGUGUAGUCAGAUUUUGAAAUUGAUGAUUGGAUGUUAUAAAUCGAGUGUGGAUUGUGAAAGAUAGGGAUAUUAUUAUUUAAUUAAUUUUCGAAAUAAAUUUAAUUAUUAAAUAAAUUCCGAAAAUUAUUUUGGGACCCUAAAUUCUCAGAAUUUUGUGCUGAUCGCUGCUGUGUAUUCAGAUUAUGAAUUUGAUGAUUAGAUAUUACAAAUUGAGUGAUGAUUUGUGCAAUUGAUUAUUGAAUUGUUGUGUGCUGGUUGAAAGACUCAGGUCGCAGUAGUGGCUUGGCCGACUGGACCUUUGUUCUUUUAGAAAUGCUGUCAAGAGAGUGACGUGGCUCGGGUUACAAUAGUGGCUAGGCCGACUGGAUCCUUUGUUCUUCUAGAAAUGUCGUCAAGAGAGUGACGUGGCUCGGGUCGUAGUAGAGGCUAGGCCAACUGGACCCAUGCUCCUUCGGGAAUGCAGUCGACGUACUGACGAAGCCGCGCUCCAAGGUGGGCAGGCGAUGCCUGGUUAUAUGCCAGUAGAUAGCCGAACUGCGAGUAGGCUAUGCCCUUGUGUGACAGUGAAUAACAAUUGGAAUGCAUGUUGAGUGUUGUUGAUGUGUCGGAUUAUGAGACGGAAUUGUGUGGCAUGGAAUGGGAUGUGUCAUAACGAUUUAGUCUUAUAAUCAGGACUCCCGCGGUUGUUGGUUAUAUGAAAGUGAAUGCGUUCCGGUUGUUUAAGUUCCUAUUACUAUCUGUGAUUGAGUGAUUUGAAUUGUGCUAACCUGCAGGAAGGAACUGAGGCGAGGUAAAUAUUCUGUGUGAUGUGGCUAGGCCACUCGGGGUGUAUUUUCUUUCUAAUAGGGGUUUAGGGGGUUGAACUUGUUGAGACAUUGUCUCAUCCCGGUUGUGGGAUUAAAAUUUCAGGUCCCUAGAUGGCGGUUGUGAAGGACCCGAAGCCCUAAGUCUGGAAAGGUGGAGACUGAAGUAUCGGUGAACGUGUCAUGCUAAUUGGUUUUAGGAUGGUUCCCCUUUUUUCGAGCUGGUCUAUUUUGUAGACAGUCCAGAGUUAUAUUUAAACCUAUGUGUUUGUAAAUGAGUGUUUGGUAUUGUGAUUGAUUGCCUGCUUUUCUAUCCCAAGUUAAAUGUUGUCAGGGGAUUUGUUUCACUUCCGUGUGUGUAAUAAAAUGAAUGGGUCGGUGACGUAUCUUGGGAUGUCGCAUAUUUGAUCGACCGCAGUGGGAUGUGCGCGCGCUCGGGGUUAGGGGCGUGACAUCCCCGUUUAUGUGGGUAUCAGAGCAUGGUCUGUGUAUGGAGUGAUAAGGUGCGAUGAGUCAUGGGAUAGUUAGUAGGAAAGGCUUUUAAUAUGCUGAUGCAUAUGGUUGAUAGUUGAUCGGUAGUAUGUUUGUGGGGUCACUCAAAUUCUAACCUGGUGUUGGUAUUGGAAAACAGGCGUCGAUAUAGAGUCUGUAGCAUGAGUGACCAGGAGUGGAGAACUCUUUGGAGGAGGUCGAUAGGACCUGUAUUUCAGGGUAGGAUGCUGACAAGAGUCGGUACCCGAGGUAAAGCGCAGGUUUAGUCCAGUGCGAGUGUGAGAGUACCGCCGUAGGCUGGUAUUGAGAGUGUAGUAGCACCGAAUGAUCCUAGGUUUGUCGGGAUCGUUCAGGCGCUAGUGUCCCUUGGAAGCUUGUUGGGUCAGUAAGCUCAGGACCGAGCCGCCACUGUUGCCGUCAUUUCUACCACUGCCAGUGUUGUGACCGCUGUUGUUGUUGCGCCUAUUGAGGCCUAAUCUGGAGUUGUGAUCGAGGAUCAAUGCCGCUGUAUCUGAGUCAAGGUUCAGUUUAGACAGAGAUAGAAAUCGAUUGGGGAGAAAGGUCGAUGCCAGAAGAAAGGUGCCCUGUUUCACCCAACCGGAGAAGUAGAAUUCGAAAGUCAGUGCUCAACUCAAUCGAGGUGUGUCAUGUCUGUAAGAAAAGACAGGAAUCUGUUUCGUGCUGUAAGAGAGACAGGACUUGUUACAAGGGUCGCCAGUACAGUUAUUUGAUCAAAGAUUGUCCGUAUAGACAGAUGGAAUCACAGCUGUUUCUGUCACCGCCGUUGAUAAGACGGAACAGAAGAAGCAUGCUUCGGGACAUUUAGUGGGAUACUUGGAAUGGACCUCAGUGCAAUGAAGGGUGCAUGAUAUUCCUUAAUAGGAGGUAAAUGACUCCCUGAUUAUGUGCCGAGCUUGUGGAAAGGAGGCUCGAGUCAGCCCAGUGUCAGAGUAAAAAGGGAAACAUGCUUUGAAUGUGGCCAGCAUGGCCGUCAGGUUAAAAACUGUCCGUGUAAGUUCAGGAGAGUGUAAGCAUUAUUACUGCAGAUAGAACGCCACUAGGAUGGCGAAAGGAAUAAUAAUGGAUUGACUAUGCAUUAAUCAAGGGAAGAAUGUUUUGAGGUGUUUUAUCAGAGUAGCGCAACAGGAUUUUGAGUGAAAGUUGUGGAGUUUCCAUUGUUGUAAUAAAGUAAUAGGAAGAUGAGUAUUUGACUAUAGUUGUACCUGAUGGGUUUGCUUAUGUAUGACUUGGGAGUCAUUUAUAAAAAGGUUUGGCUCGAGGAGCUUUCUGCUGUUAUGAAUCGUGGUAGUGAUAUAAUUCAGUUUGUUUAGUUAGCGUAUGAAAGUUUUGAAUUACUGAAAGUUAGAAAGGACCUUCGAUCCCUGUUAUUCGUCAUUGAAGAUGACUUGGUUCAGGUUGUUGGUUAUCGAAUCUACAUGGCAGCUGUAAUGGAUGCGUUAGUUGAGGAGCCGAAUAUGGAGAAUAUAAUCGUGGCACAUAAGUUUUCUAAGGUAUUUGCUGAAGAAUUGUCAAGUUUGUAGUCAGAAAGAGAAAUGGAGUUCACGAUUGAAUUAGCACCCAAAACAGAGCCAGUCCCUAAGGCUCCUUACCGGAUGGUGUUACCCGAGUUAAAAGGACUGAAGGUGUAGAUGCAGGAAGUGUUGGAUAGGGGAUUCAUACUUUCCAGUGCAUAACCUUGGGGAGCACCAGUUCUGUACAUGAAGGAGAAAUGUGGUUCGUUGUGGUUGUGUAUUGAUAUUCCUCAAGAUCGACUGGAGGUCAGGGUAUCAUCAAUUGAGGAUCAGGAAGAAAGACAUACCAAAGUUAAGACCUCGCACUCGAUACAGUAGUUAUGAGUUCACUAUAAUGCUGUGUGGUUUAAUAGACACCUUAGCUAUUUGUUGGGUCUAAUGAGCAGAAUGUUUAAAGGUACUUGAAUCAGUUGUGAUUGUGCUCAGUGAAGUUAUCCUGGUGUGUUCAAAGAGUGCUGAGGAGCACAAGAGACAUUUAGGGAUGAUACUUCAGACUUUGAGUACUUUUGGAUUUUACGAUAGGUUUAGCAAAUGUGAGUUUUGGAUGACUCGUAUUGCGUUCCUAGGUCACGUGAUUUCAGGAGAAGAAAUCUCCGUAGACCCCGUCUAAGAUUGAAGCAGUGAACAGUUGGCCGAGAUUGGCUACAGUGACAGAGAUCAGAAGUUCUAGGGAUUAGCAGGAUAUUUCAAACAGUUCGUAAAAGGGUUUUUAGCGUUAGCGUUACCAUUGAUAAGACUACUAAGGAAGUAAGAAAAGUUCGUGUGGACAGAUGAGUGCGAGCGUAGUUUUCAAGGGCCUAAGAAGAGGCUAACUACCGCACUUGUGCUUACUAGUCCAUCUGGUCCAGGAGGGUUGAGAUCUACGGUGAUGCGUCGUUUAAAGGAUUGGGUUGUGUGUUGUUACAACAUGAUAUGGUUGUUGCAUAUGCGUCCCGUUGAUUGAGACCUCGGGAGUUGAAUAUGAGACAGCGUCGCUGGAUGGAACUCAUUAAGGAUUAUGACUAUGAUAUUUUGUAUCACUCGGGAAAGGUGAGCAAAGUCGCAGAUGCACUGAGUCGAGAGUCCUUAGUUGCACAGUUGGUACUCAAGGAUUGGAUCUUAUUCGAGAAAGUCCAAAAUUCAGUUUUCAAAUCUAAGUGGACAGAUUCAGAAAUUCAGAAGACUCUAUAAGAGAAUGUAGAUGAGGGAGAGGUUGAUUUUCAGAUUUCUAAAGACAGGACGCAAAGGUUCUGAGGAUGAUUGUCUGUAGCUGAUGAUGCCGAGAUUAAAGAAGAUAUCUUAUGGGAAGCUCAUCAUAGCAAUUUCAACGUUGUCCAGACAGUACGAAUAGAUCUUGUUUUGAGUGUGUGACAUCUUGAUUUUCAGACUCUGAUUUCGAUUGGUUAAAUUUGGCAUUUCAUCGACGCGAUUACAGUGUUUUUCUCUGAGUUGGCCACUUACGAGAUAACUAGACUAGUUGGGUGAGUUAUUAAGGACUUUAAGGAAAAUAGACUUGAAAAUUCGACCAUGAAUCGACUUCUCGACCGUGCUCAUCUUUAGAGAUCAUUACGGCACAAUUAAAAAAAAAAAAUCGAAGUAAGAUCAGAAAUAGGUCCGUUCAACUGAGAUGAAUGACCGAUCGUGGGUGACUCCACUAAAUUGGAAAACUCUCGUCGACUGAUACUAAUUUGAUUAUAUUGUCGUUUUGGUACCUUGUGUCCGUAUUUGAAUCAUCGAAAUUUGCACAACACUCGAGAGUCGCCAAUGUGUCGAGUGAGUUCAUCGUGGCUCGAAGAAAAUCGACCACGGGUCAUUUGUCCUAAAGAGCUCUGAAAACUACCUAAUAGCCUAGGUCACACUAAAAACGUGUCGGAGUGAAAUUAACUGUCAAUCUAAGUUUGAUUUCAGAAAUUAAAGAUUCUGUCGUGUCACAAAGUGGGUAUACCGAAGUGUGUGUGCAUCAGAUAAUUCACCGGCAUGGAGUGCCGGAGAUGAAUUGUAUUUCAAUCUAGAUCAGAUGUUCCGAGUUGGCAGAGCUUUCAAAUGGUUCUUUCUUAAGCAGUGCAUAGCAGAGAGUGCAGAAUUUCAAUUGCUGAGAUGAAGUCAGGGAAAGAAAGAUCAGGCCAGGGUCAGUACAAUAUUCAGUGAUUGUAGUUGCCGAGAUCAGUGUCAGUGUUAUAUCAGAUCUUGACUAGAGGUUCUCAAUUUCAGCAAGUCAGUCAGAUAGUUUCUUUUUAAUCAGUGCAAAGCAGAGUGUACAGGACUUCAGUCGAUUGAGAUGAGAUCAGAGAUUAGAAAAUUGCAAGUCCAAAGUUGGUUCAGAAAUCAAUUAUUCAGUCACAGUUAGCAGAGACAGUCUUGAGUCUGCUCAGAAUCGCCAGUUUAGCUUCGCAGAUUUUGUGUUGAAGACCUUUGGAAUUUUAAGGGGGCAAAUGUUUAGUAUUUUGGAUCUGAAGUGGUUUGAGCAAGAUAGUAGUGAUCUGGCAACAUUGGUACAGAAGGAGUAACCUGAGAAAGAGAAGAUUAUAUGAGAUGACUGUACCCCCACCUUUUUGUUUAAGAAUUGGUAAAGGUUUAAAUUUCGAGGACGAAAUUUUUAUAAGAGGGGAAGAGUUGUGACAUCCUGAUUUUUCGAUUCUAUUUUCAAUAAAUUGAGACGAGCAUUUCGUUGGCACGCAUAUAGUUCUUUUCCUUGAGUCAGCCACUCAUGUGAAAACUAGUCUAUUGGGUGAAACCGUUAAGAGUUUCUAAUAUAUCAGACUCGAGAAUUUGAUUAGGAAGCGACCUUUCAACCGAGCUAAUCUACCAGGGUCAUUACGGCACAAUUAAAAAUCGAUUAGAGAUCGAAGAUAGGUCGACUCGAAAGAGGCAUGUGAUCAGGUGUGGGUGAUUCCACCAGAUCGCACAAUUCUUGUCGAUCGGCACUAGACCGACUUUUCUAUCGAUUGGGUACCCUAUUUUGGCCGCCUUCCCGAGCCCGGAUGCUCGGCCCGCCUUGAGGAAAGUCAAUCCUCGCAUCGUCCUCGUCGUUUUGGUCCGCUCGGCUCGCUAAUCCGGUGAGUUUAACUCACUAAAUCUUGAUUAGAGGGUUAAUGAUGCCCUAAGUGUGCUUAGUCUAAGUUAAGUAAGUUUAGGUGGUUAGAUUAGUUUAUUUGGUUGAUGAUUAGAUUAGGGUGUUUAAUUAAGUUAAAGUGUGUUUAGUUUAAGGUUAAGUAUGUUUAUCUUUAAUAUAAAGCCUUGAUGUGACAUAAUAGGGUUUUAUUUUUGAAUUAUUUAAUGAUUUCGAAUUCUGGAAUUUAUAAUAUUAUAUUAUAUUUCGAAAUUAUUAAAAUAUUAUUAUUUAAUUAUUUUCGGAAUAAAUUUAAUUAUUUAUUAAAUUCCGAAAAUUUUGUCAAGACCCUAAAUUCUCAGAAUUUCGUGCCGAUCACUGCUGUGUAGUCAGAUUUUGAAAUUGAUGAUUGGAUGUUAUAAAUCGAGUGUGGAUUGUGAAAGAUAGGGAUAUUAUUAUUUAAUUAAUUUUCGAAAUAAAUUUAAUUAUUAAAUAAAUUCCGAAAAUUAUUUUGGGACCCUAAAUUCUCAGAAUUUUGUGCCGAUCGCUGCUGUGUAUUCAGAUUAUGAAUUUGAUGAUUAGAUAUUACAAAUUGAGUGAUGAUUUGUGCAAUUGAUUAUUGAAUUGUUGUGUGCUGGUUGAAAGACUCGGGUCGCAGUAGUGGCUUGGCUGACUGGACCUUUGUUCUUUUAGAAAUGCUGUCAAGAGAGUGACGUGGCUCGGGUUACAAUAGUGGCUAGGCCGACUGGAUCCUUUGUUCUUCUAGAAAUGUCGUCAAGAGAGUGACGUGGCUCGGGUCGUAGUAGAGGCUAGGCCAACUGGACCCAUGCUCUUUCGGGAAUGCCGUCGACGUACUGACGAAGCCGCGCUCCAAGGUGGGGAGGCGAUGCCUGGUUAUAUGCCAGUAGAUAGCCGAACUGCGAGUAGGCUAUGCCCUUGUGUGACAGUGAAUAACAAUUGGAAUGCAUGUUGAGUGUUGUUGAUGUGUCGGAUUAUGGGACGGAAUUGUGUGGCAUGGAAUGGGAUGUGUCAUAACGAUUUAGUCUUAUAAUCAGGACUCCCGCGGUUGUUGGAUAUAUGAAAGUGAAUGCGUUCCGGUUGUUUAAGUUCCUAUUACUAUCUGUGAUUGAGUGAUUUGAAUUGUGCUAACCUGCAGGAAGGAACUGAGGUGAGGUAAAUAUUCUGUGUGAUGUGGCUAAGCCACUCGGGGUGUAUUUUCUUUCUAAUAGGGGUUUAGGGGGUUGAACUUGUUGAGACAUUGUCUCAUCCCGGUUGUGGGAUUAAAAUUUCAGGUCCCUAGAUGGCGGUCGUGGAGGACUCGAAGCCCUAAGUCUGGAAAGGUGGAGACUGAAGUAUCGGUGAACAUGUCCUGCUAAUUGGUUUUAGGAUGGUUCCCCUUUUUUCGAGCUGGUCUAUUUUGUAGACAGUCCAGAGUUAUAUUUAAACCUAUGUGUUUGUAAAUGAGUGUUUGGUAUUGUGAUUGAUUGCCUGCUUUUCUAUCCCAAGUUAAAUGUUGUCAGGGGAUUUGUUUCACUUCCGUGUGUGUAAUAAAAUGAAUGGGUCGGUGACGUAUCUUGGGAUGUCGCAUAUUUGAUCGACCGCAGUGGGAUGUGCGCGCGCUCGGGGUUCGGGGCGUGACAUGGAGUCUCAGUAAUAUAGCUUUCUCAUGGUCAUUUUCUACUUGUGAAGAUGACCAAGGAACGAUGGAUUGGAUAAAGUACAAAUGGGUCAUAAACAAUGUGCACAUUUCUGGCAAAUCGAAGUGAUUAGUUAACAUGUUGAUGUCAUCUACCUCCCAUAAAUAGCUUUUUCGUUAAUGAGAUGCAGCUCCAAAUGUGUAUUUCUUUCAUUAAUGAAGUCAUAAUGCCCUUUGCUAGUUAACAAAUCUCUAGACAAUCUGUAUUCUACCCUGAAAUUCUUGAGGAUCCAUAGCCAUGUACGAAUUGCUACUCACUGCACUUGUUUCAUAAAAAGCUGCUAAAUUAAUGAUACCAUUUAUACAGAUCACUUAGCCAAUGUGUUUUUCCAUAAGUUAUACCAAACUAGAUUCACAUAAAAGAUAACAAGGUGACGGAACCAUUUGACAACUGUAAAUCAAUCCGUAACAAUGUUGUGAUCCACUAUGACCACAUGUUCUUUAUUUUGCACGAAUUUCACAUACCAUUUCACAUCAAAAGUGGCAGACUGACUUUGAGUCCACCAUCGUUGCCCCGGGUUUAGGUUUGGAACAACUUUCUACCCCGUCUUUUGGUUUGAAAACAACUAAAAACUUGUUUCCAAAGUUAUCAAAAAGUCAAGGCUAAAGGCUAAAAAUGAGAGAACACUUUCCAGUGGAUUCAAAUAAAACAAUUUUCUGAGAAUACCAAACACAUCAAUUUUGGAAAGUGAACACAGAAAAUCAACAAUAUCAUUUUGAUUUACGGUGUAGUUUCUCCUUGUAAUAUUUGAACUAUUUUGACGCAAUGGAAGGUUUGUUUCAGCAAAAAAAAAAAAAAAAAAAAACCUAUUAACUAAUGAAGAGGACCACUUAUCGAAUUUACGAACAAGUGGUAAUUUACCCUUAGGAUUUAGGAUUGUAAAAUUACUAUUUCACUCAUCACUCACUAAUAGUUGAUUGGACUGAUAAGUUCCUAAUAAGUAAAAAAUUACGGGCGAUAUCUCAAAUUUGCCAUCAAUUAUUCAAAAUUUCCAUACACAGAAUGAAUUUCAAUUUUUGGCAAAAGGAAUGUUAGAAAUCUACUAGUUCCAACUUAUCUUAGCACUUCAUGUUCUUUCCAUCUGAACAACAUCGAAGUAUACAUUUUCAUUAUAGCUUUAUUUACGCAUACUGAGUGAAUGCUUCAACCUGGAUUACUGGGAAUGCAAUAGAUCAUAUUGCCCUGCUGAUUUAAUUCAAGAACAGUAUAAAAUAAAAAAUAAAAAAUAAUGUUAUUUUGGCUGAGAAAUCAUUUGAACCUUGACGGAUGGUAAAUGUAUCACGUAGGUAUAAGCUUAGAGUUUUUUUAUAUUAUAAAAAAAAAAAAAGAAUUUUAGAGUAAAUGUGUAACAGUGGACAUACUUUGAUAUUUUUGAUGUCACAAAAAAAAAAUUAUGGGUCAAUGUGUCACAGGUGGGCAUAAUUUAGGAUUUUUAUAAUUUUUGUUUAACCAUAGAAUUUUCUGAACUAAUUGCUUUAAGGCCACAACAAAAAAUCCUUUUUUUUUUAAAAGCAAAAGGGCACGGGAGUACUUUCCCACGCCUACCCAUCGGAUCCAUCCGCAUCGAGAGAGUUUCACUCGGGAGCAAUUAUUUGGAAGUGCGAGUUCCCGCACCCACCGAGCAGAUGCAUUCGACUUUCAUGAUUUUUCGGUCAACAUCUAAUUCCAGAUUUCUGGGUCAUGGAUGCUUCCCGUGCUUUGCACGGUCUACUCCUUGUGGAAUCAGAGCACAUUGCGGCAGACAGAAACUAGCGAACAACAAAUGUCUGGAAGAAAAAGUUCCGUUUGUCCGCGGGAUUAGAGCAUUCAACUUGCGAGACCCGUCAAGUACCAAAACACACACACACACACACACACUAAUGCCUCUUUUUCAUGGAAAAUAAUGACAGUCCCUCAUUCAGCGACCAGGGCACAGUAACGUACUAACGUCGAGCUUUCAGCGACCAGGGCACAGUAACGUACUAACGUCGAGCUUCUCAAACAUUCAGUAGGGUGGGGAAUGUUAUAUGUAGACAUAUAUUAUACACAUUUACUUGUAAUAUCUAUUCUCCCUAUUUUUAUGUUUUAUUUUAUUCUUGUAUGUUCUAAAGAAGGAAGGGAAAAAAAAGUGUUGGUCAACGUUGUCGACAGAGACAGCACAGAAGCAAUAAACCCUUGGAAGUAUGGGAAAUGGCUCAAAUUGUCUUGUAUCGAUGUGGUCAUAUAGAAAUCUUUGUCUCGCGAUUUUGUUUAGAAAUACAAAGUCCAACGUAAUUCCUUGUUUGAGAGGAAUUACCGCAUGAUUUCUGCUAAAUUUGGCAAACGAACAUUCUUGUAAAGUAGGGAUCUUACUUUAUCAUGUUACACCAUCAAGUUGCUCCUCAUAAAAAAACAAACUAAAGUUUCCAUCAAUAUGAAUAUAUGUCGAUAGUUUAAUUUUGUCCAAAAUUGUGUGCAUUUAAACUAGAUUGGUAUAGCAACAAGAUGCUAAUUACUUUGAAGUUGUUUGUCUUUGGCUUUACGAACAAGAUCAGUGAACAUCGAUUAGCAGCAAUUUCAAUGCACGAGUGUAAUAGAGAUAUUAAAAUCUUUCAUAUCAACUAGAAGAAAGAAAAGAAGUUCCUUUUAUACGGGAUGGCAAUCGCCGAUCAUGGUGGUUGGGAUUAUUUUAUAAAGAAACAAUUCACACUUAGCAACUUUAUCUUGCGUUGCAUCUGUGUUUCGAUUCUCUAAAUUGGCCACCUUUUUCGUUAGGGUGGGUAAGACUCUGAGGUUGCUAUCUUGUUGCAACUGCUUGUAAGCCAAAAAGGUAGUAUAUAAAGAACCUGAGAAGAUAAUUCCACUCCAGUAGCCCCCCGCUACAAUUCCGGCUUUUGGUUAUUCCCUCAAGAAGCUUCCCAGAUAUCAAAACAACUUUCAUGGCUGUCGAUCUCAGAGCCGAGAGGACCUUGUUUAGGGGACUGGAACAUCAAAAGGUUGAUGCUAUUGUUUUGGAGUUGGCGGAGGAAAUUUCGUUUGAGAGGGAUGCUGCUGAAGUUGAGAGUGCCUAUCAUCUGCAUUUGCAACUUGUUUCUGGGGUCCAACUUUCACUUCCAGAGAGGAUUGAUGUUGAUGAGAACGCGCUUAUUUCAUUAUCCAGAGGACACUCUCAGACAACUAAGGGCGAAGACCUUAUCGUUGACUUUGAAUGGCCUCGACUGACUUUCCGAACCCCUCUAUUGGUCAUUCACAGCAACAACGGUCUUCUUCAUGCUCCGUUUUCCUAUGGACUUUGUAGCUAACAGGAACAAAAACUAGUUUGUCCUUAUAAAUUGAUGAAUGAUGCUAGAAACAGUAGUGUAAGUUCAUAAAAUCGGUUUAUUAAGUGCAUUAGGCAUUUAAAGGAGUGAGCCAAAUUUAAACGAUAACAGAAGUUCGCCAUACGGACAAGUACACCAACUUUGUAAAUCAAUUUUGUUUCUCACAUUGCUCUAAAUUUAUUAUUUGAGCAAGCACUUAUCUAGAUGUGGAGGAAUGCGCCCUUGAGAGUUAUUCCCAUCAAGAUACAAAUAAAUCAAUUUGCUUAGAUUUUUGCAUGAAAAUGCAGUUACCCCAGAGAGAUUGUUGAUCGAGAGACAUACGUAAGAUUUUGAAUAUUUUUCAAGUCAAAUGGGAUUGUACAUGAAAGAUUGUUGCCAUCCUCAUAUGACUUUUCUAAGUUCACGAGAUUCUCAAUUGCUCUGGGGAUCUCGCCGGUUAUAUUAUUCACGACCUCCUCUCUAGAAAAAGGUUUGGGCAAGAAAAAACCUGAAUAAGAGAAAACGAGAAAUAAGAUAAAUGUACCAACGGAAGAGGCUUUCUAAGAACAGAGAGGUAAUUAUGCAGUUGCAUGAUUCCCGCACAAGGGAUUCGCCAUCUUUUUACAGGUGAUGUACCAAUAAUUCUCUAGGGCAAGUAGAAAAUAAAGGGGAAAUUUUAGAAUAUAUAGUAAAGUGCAUAGCCAAUAAGUCAGAACCUUGUGUUGUACACAAAAAAAUUUCAAAGAUAGAAACUCGGAACUUCAGAUGUCUAAGCUUACACCGUCUGAAAUUGCUACAGUUCUUUUUGAAUUCUGCAAAAUGCAUAGCUAAUGACCUCUCCGCUUUCUAAGAUGAAGAUUCCCAAAAAUUAAAAUGGAAGAAAAAACUAUGGCCAAUGAUCAUAUGGAUAUAAUGGCCAUCUUCCUAUUCUUUUCUAAGGCAGAGUGAGGAGUACUAUCCGAUUAGUCGACUUUUUCUAUUUUGUCCGUGCAGUGGACUAAAAUGUCUUGAAAUUCCUAUUAAUGAGAGGAAAUUUGUUCAUUUAAUCCAUUUGACGAACUUGAUUAUCAUGAUUUGGUCUUCAUCAUAAAUUUGAUAAUGACUAUUACCUUGACUUCCAAGUUAUUUGUGUUGGCGAUGCAUGUUUCACUUAAAACUAGAUUUCUGCCAAUGAAAGUCAUUCCCCCUUGGUGAGAUGAUGCAAUAACAUAAUUUGCUCUCCCAAGUAGAGGAUUUAGGUAAUGUAGGACUCGAGUUUGCAUCGUAGAUGAAAGUAUCCAGAAAAACUUACGUAGUAGUCUUUUUUCCUAGACAUACAUCGUGCGGGAUGUACCAGCAUAAUGUCUGCUCGUAUUAAUAGAUAAUUGAACUAUUUAACUAGCAUAAAAGAUAGAAAAGGAUAAAUGUAUCGUUCAGACAACUUUAAGAGACGUAUACUGGCUUGCCUGUAAGCCUUUUCUUUUCAAUAAUCCGGAUAUACAGUACAGCUGUAUGGAUGACAGCAUCAUUCCUAAUACUUCGUUCUCCUCUCACAUGCCAACUUUCGUCUUAAAGGAAUAAUGAAACACACCUAUGUUCUUCACGGUCUAAACUAUUCAUAGUCUACAUCAGAACUCGAUUCACCAACCUCACAACACGUUAGAGAAGCAGUUAUCCCACAUUUGCAUCAGAGAUGAAGACCUUCUGCCACGUCUCUCUACCUCCCGGAAGGACGAAGACAUUGUCAUUGAAUUCGAGUCUAAAGGUUCUCAUAUGCCAUAGUGGUUCCAAGCCACUUUGUUUCAUCGGAUGGCUUCACUCUUUUUCCAAGCCACUUUGGUUCUGCAUGAUGAUUUUAUUACUUCCAUGGCUCCAUCUUCGCAUUACCAGACAAUUGAAUUUAUCUAGAUAUGAAAAAAAAAAUGCGUAAAGUCAGGCGCUUGUCAAUGCAUAAGUGGUUCAGUUUGGCAUGAUUUGCAGGAUGUACUAGAAAAACUUACUGCUUUAGUAUAUCACCUAUCCUCAUAAGCCAGUUGCGUAAAGUCUGUCCCUAAUCGAACGUAGUUGAGCUGUUACAUCUGUGAUGCUCAUUCGAUCUCUUGGGACUCCAAGUGAGCAGGCGAUCCCAAUUUUGUAGAUCAUCAGCAGACAAUUUUGGAUUGUACUCUUUCUGCUUUGGCCGACACUGCUCUCUACUUCUUGAACUAGAAUGUGAUCGGUAAUCUCUAGGACUCGUUUAGGCAAAGCUUCCUUGACAAAGUUAUGAAGGUUCGAAUUUUCUUUGAAUAUCUCAGUUGUCGGACUAAUUCCUGUGAACAUCUCUAGCAUGAGGAUGCCAUAACUAUAGACAUCCCCUUCAAUGGAAACCCCACUUCCCAUUCCAUAUUCUGCACUUAUCAAGAACCACAAAUGGUUGAGUUAUGAGAAAAUAGCAUGUGCACAAUCUUAUUUUGAAGUCCAUAGUUUUGUGAAAAGAUGCAUCAGCAAUUUUGUGAUAAACAAAUUAUUCAUUUGAGGGAGCUAGGGACACAAGGGGACAUACCUGGAGCAGCAUAACCAAUUGUUCCUCUCAAACCAGCUGAGCUUAUAUUUGUGUUCGUGUAAGAAGUGGAUUCAAGGAUGAACUUUGCCAAUCCAAAGUCACCAACAUGUCCAACCAUCUCUGCAUCUAAAAGCACAUUGCUUGGCUUUAGAUCACAAUGAACUAUGGUGUUGUGGCAUUGGUUAUGAAGAUAUUCCAAUGCAAAAGCAAUGUCGAUGGUAAUCUUUAUCCUUUGGAUGAGAUUCAAAAUUUUUGAGGGCCCAUCCACAUCAGCUGGUAUUGGACAUGGGUGCAACCACUCUUUGAGGCUACCAUUGACCAUGAGCUCAAAGACUAAAGCCUUAAACUCAUUUCCGUUAUAAUCAAUACCUGAGCAUACUGUUAGUAUCUUCAAAAGAUUUCGGUGUUUGAUACACUUUAGGGCCUCACACUCAGCUUUGAAGCUCUUGAGAGCACCAUGGUGCAUUAAAUUAAGCACCUUCACGGCAACAUUAGUCCCAUUCUCCUGGAGUAUUCCCUUGUAAACGGAUCCAAAACUACCAACACCAAUCAAAUUAGCUGAAGAAAAACCAUUAGUUGCUUUGAGAAGAGUUCCAUAAGAUAAGUUUUGCCAGCUUUCAACUAUGGAACUUGAAGUUGGUUCUUGUGCUUUCUUCUUCUUCAACCAACAUACAUACACAAAAAUGAGAACAAGAAGCACCCCUAUAAGCCCAAAAAUAAUAGAGAGCAAGAGUUUCAAUUUAUGAACUACUCCUUUGCUCUUGGAGUGUCUGGAGACGCAUUUAGGUAGCUGAAAUUCCGGGAUUCCUCCACAUAUCUUGUUGUUUCCAGCAACAAAAGUGGCACUCGCAUUCUUGAAGACUCCUUCGGUUGGUAAUGUGCCUUCAAAAUUGUUAUAGGAUAAAUUCAGAUAUUUCAGGAAAUCGAAUGCCGCUAAGAACUUCGGAAUCUCACCCGAGAGAUUGUUAUUCGAAAGAUCCAAUUCCUCAAUACUUCUUAAUGAGCUAAUUGAUUGAGGAAUGGAUCCUUGGAAGUGGUUAUCCUUCAUUACUAAUACUACCAAUGCAUUACAAUCGCCUAGAGUGCUUGGAAUUUCACCACUAAACAUAUUGCCUGAGAUGUUCAAAGUAUCUAAAUGGUCAAUUUGCCCCACUUCCACCGGAAGGGCCCCACUCAAAUGGUUGUUAGACAAAUCUAAAGAAAUGAGAGUUUUAACUGCCGGGAAUAUGGAACCACUGAGAUUGUUGUUAGAAAGAUUGAGCCAUGUUAGACUACAAUUAUCUAGAUGUGAAGGUAUGGGUCCAUGAAACUGAUUAUUGGAAAGUAGUAAUUUAAUCAAUCGCUUCAUCUUCUGCAAAGAGGAUGGAAUUACCCCAGAUAGAUUGUUAUAGGAGAGACUCAGAAAUACCAGAUUUUGAAGAUUUCCCAAAUCAAUUGGGAUAGCACCUGAAAAACUGUUCUCUUCCAUUGUCAAGAUCUCCAAGUUCACAAAAUUGCUGAUUUCUCUAGGAAUCUCACCGGUGAUAAGAUUUCCUCCCAAAAAUAAUUGUUCGAUAGCAAUGGAGAAAUUACCAAUGCAUCUCGACAAUAGCCCACCGAAUCUAUUACCAGCAACACUUAAGAAAAGUAAGCUAGUGAUAUUAGUUAAUGAGCAAAGGAAUUUCAAGUCACCAGAUCCCCCACUUCCGAGGCGAUUAAAUUGAAUGUUCAACCAUUGAACGUUAUGCAAACUUUCAAAAGAUGGUACUUUCCCUGAGAAUUUGUUGCUUGAAAGUUGAAGUAUCGUUAGCUUUGUAGCAUUAUUAGGUAUCCACGGGGGGAUUGAGCCAACAAAUUGGUUUGAGGCGAUGCUGAAAUAUUGUAAGUUUGGGAGACCAAAGCCUAUUGUAGUGGGAAGACUUCCAUGUAUCUGAUUAUAUCCUACCUCAAAUUUUUCCAAUGAAGAUAAAUUGAAGAGGGAAGGUGGAAUAGUACCAGACAACCUGUUCUGUAGAAAAGUAAGUAUCGAUAGUUUGGUCAGUUGGCCUAGAGCUCGAGGAAGACUCCCGAUUAAGUAAUUCUUGCUAAGGGAAACAACCUCCAAUGAUGAUAAGUUGCCAAUUGAAGAAGGGAUACUUCCUCUUAGAUUAUUUGCUGAUCCAUAAAGAAAGCGAAGCUUUGCCAUAGAACCUAUUUCUGGAGGCACUUCUCCACUCAAUUGGUUUCUAGACAAUCUGACAUGGAGGAGGUCGAGGCAACCUGAUAUGUUCUUGGGGAUUUCACCCAUGAGAGAAUUAUUGGCUAGCGACAAGUUGCGUAACCGGUGCAACCGCCCGAUUUGCGGAGGAAUUUCAUGGUAAAAGCUAUUAUUAUAGAGCCACAAUACCUUUAAGAAGCUAAGGUUCCCGAUAUGAGGGGAGAUAGACCCUGAGAGUUUCUGGGAAUACAGGGCCAACGUAGUGACUUUGUUGGGGUGCCGGCGACUGCAUGUGACGCCAUACCAUUGGCAAAGGUUGACGGUAUUAUUCCAGGAGCUAAGCACCCCAAAGGGGUCCUCGGUUAUCCCAUCCUUGAAUGCAAGCAAUGCGGAUUUGUCGGUUUCAUUUGAUGAUGAGGAGACUCGUACAAAGCACGAUGCAGUGGCAAUUGCAAAAACGAAACAACGAAAUUGUGAGUUUGCAAAACUAAAGCCGACGAGUUGCAUGACUCAAAGCAGAAGUGGACCGAAGGGCUGAGCAGGGAGAUUAAUAAAGGAUGAGAGACGUGAUGUGUAAUUUAGGCAUGGUUUAACCAUCUCAUUAACAACUACCAAGAGAUUUAUAGAGUAUCGGGAUUUUGGAGAGAGCCUACUUGUUCUGGUCUCAAAAGUCAUUUAUUGAUUACCUUUAUGAUUAAUCAGCAAAAUUGGUGAAAAAAAAAAAAAAAAAAAAAGGCAAGAAAGAUGUAUACAUCGAUGUAAGCGUUAUCUCUACGGCAGAAUAAAAUAAAAAAUUAAUGAAAGUCAAAUUGAUUUUCCACAACAAGCAAAUGAAAAUGAUUACGGAAGGAGCACGCCAUUGUUGGCGUAAGGUACACACGAGAAAAUUAUCUGUGGGAAAUUGGAAUGUGUAAAAGAUAAGAGAAGUGUGCGAAUAGUGUGAAAUGCUCCCAGUAAAUCCAUCAAUUAUGCAAAGAUGGUUCCUCUGCCCUGGACCAUUGUGCGAUACUUAGGCAGUUUUUACUUUGUGCCCUUUCAACAAAGACAAUAAAUUCUGCAGAUUUUUUAUUUUUUUUUAGGAUAGUCAUAAGUUUGUGCUAAAAGUUUAGGAAAUUUGCAAUUAGCAAUUAAUUCAUAUAUAUAAUUUCAUAUUAAUCUCUGUCGAAUGUGAUUUCUCGAAACUGAUAUUAAAUAAAAAAUAGUGGCUGGUUUCAUAUUAAUCUUAUCCAUUUUCGAUGCACUUUCAAGACUCGUGAGAAAAAAAAAGGUAUCGGUGCUUUUUCUUUCUUUUUUUGCCCUUUUGGAGUCUCAGUAAUACAGCUUUCUCAUGGUCAUAUUCUACUAGUGAAGAUGACCAAGGAACAAUGGAUUGGAUAAAGUACAAAUGGGUCAUAAAUAAUGUGCACAUUUCUGGCAAAUCGAAGUGAUUAGGUAACAUAUUGAUGUCAUCUACCUUCCAUAGAUAGCCUUUCGUCAAUGAGAUGCAGCUCUGAAUGUGUAUUUCUUUCAUUAAUGAAGUCAUAAUGCUCUUUGCUAGUAAACAAAUCUCUAGACAAUCUGUGUUCUACCCUGAAAUUCUUCAGGAUCCAUAACCAUGUACAAAUUGCUACUCACAGCCCUUGUUUCAUAAAAGCUACUAAAUUAAUGAUACAAUUUGUACAGAUCACUUAGCCAAUGUGUUUUUUCGUAAGUUAUACCAAAACUAGAUCCACGUAAAAGAUAACAAGGUGACGGAACCAUUUGACAAUUGUAGGUCAAUCUAUAACAAUGUUGUGAUCCACAAUGGCCACAUAUUCUUUAUUUUGCAUGAAUUUCACAUACCAUUUCACAUCAAAAGGGGCAGACCGACUUUGAGUCCACCAUCGUUGCCCCGGGUUUAGGUUUGGGAACAACUUUCUUCCUCGUAAAACAACUAAAAACUUGUUUCCAAAGUUUUCAAAAAGUCAAGGCUAAAGGCUAAAAAUAAGAGAACUUUCCAAUGGAUUCAAAUAAAACAAUUUUUCCGAGAAUACCAAACACAUCAAUUUUGGAAAGUGAACAUGAAAAAUCGACAAUAUCAUCUUGAUUUACGCAGUAAUUUCUCCUUGUAAAGUGAACAUGUUCUUUAUUUUGCAUGAAUUUCACAUACCAUUUCACAUCAAAAGGGGCGGACUGACUUUGAGUCCACCAUCAUUGCCCCGGUUUUAGGUUUAGGAACAACUUUCUACCCCGUCUUUUGGUUUGAAAGCAACUAGAAACUUGUUUCCAAAGUUAUCAAAAAGUCAAGGCUAAAGGCCAAAAAUGAGAGAACACUUUCCAGUGGAUUCAAAUAAAACAAUUCUUCUGAGAAUACCAAACACAUCAAUUUUGGAAAGUGAACACGGUAAAUCAACAAUAUUAUCUUGAUUUAUGUUGUAGUUUCUCAUUGUAAUAUUUGAACUAUUUUGAUGCAAUGGAAGGUUUGUUUCAGCAAAAAACAAAGAACUUAUUAACUAAUGAAGAGGACCACUUAUCGAAUUUAAGAACAAGUGGUAAUUUACCCUUAGGAUUUAGGAUUGUAAAAUUACUAUUUCCUUCAUCACUCACUAAUAGUUGACUAGACUUAUAAGUUCCUAAUAAGUAAAAAAUUACAGGCGAUAUCUCAAAUUUGCCAUCAGUUAUUCAAAAUUUCCAUACACAGAAUGAAUUUCAAUUUUUGGCAAAUGGAAUGUUAGAAAUCUACUAGUUCCAACUUAUCUUAUCACUUUAUGUUCUUUUCCAUCUGAAUAACAUCGAAGUAUACAUUUCCAUCAGCUUUAUUUAGGCAUACUGAGUGAAUGCUUCAACCCGAAUUUUUGGGAAUGCAAUAGAUCAAAUAGCCCUACUGAUUUUAUUCAAGAAUAUUAUGAAAUAAAAAAUAAAUAAAAAAAUAAUGUUAUUUGGCUGAAAAAUCAUAUGAACCUUGACGGAUGGUAAAUAUGUCACGUAGGUAUAAACUUAGAGUUUUUUAUAUUAUAAAAAGAAAAAGUUUAGAGUAAAUGUGUCAUAAUGGACAUAUUUUGAUAUUUUUGAUGUCACAAAAAAAAUUCUGGGUCAAUGUGUCAAUGGUGGGCACAAUUUAGGAUUUUUAUGAUUUUUGUUUAACCAUAGAAUUUUCUGAACUAAUUGCUUUAAGGCCACAACAAAAAAUUCAUUUUUAAAAAUGUAAAAGGGCACGGGAGUACUUUCCCACACCUACCCAUCGGAUCCAUCCGCAUCGAGAGAGUUUUACUCGGGAGCAAUUGUUUUGAAGUGCGACUUCCCCCACCCACUGAGCAGAUGCAUUCGACUUUCAUGAUUUCUCGGUCAACAUCUAAUUCCAGAUAUCUAAGUCAUGGAUGCUUCCCGUGCUUUGCACGGUCUACUCCUUGUGGAAUUAGAGCACAUUGCGGCAGACAGAAACUAGCGGCCAACAAAACUCUGGAAGAAAGAGUUUCGUUUGUCCGCGGGAUUAGAGCAUUCAACUUGCGAGACUUGUCAAGUACCAAAACACACACACACACUAACGCCUCUUUUCCAUGGAAAAAUAAUGACAGUCCCUCAUUCAGCGACCAGGGCACAGUAACGUACUAACGUCGAGCUUCUCAAACAUUCAGUAGGGUGGGGAAUGUUAUAUGUAGACAUAUAUUAUACACAUUUACUUGUAAUAUCUAUUUUCCCUAUUUUUCUGUUUUAUUUUAUUCUUGUAUGUUCUAAAGAAGGAAGGGGAAAAAAAGUGCUGGUCAAAGUUGUCGACAGAGACAGCACAGAAGCAAUAAACCCUUGGAAGUAUGGGAAAUGGCUCAAAUUGUCUUGUAUCAAUUUGGUCAUAUAGAAAUCUUUGUCUUGCGAUUUUGUUUAGAAAUACAAAGUCCAACAUAAAUCCUUAUUUGAGAGGAAUUACCGCAUGAUUUCUGCUUAAUUUAGCAAAUGAACAUUCUUGUAAAGUAGGCAUCUUACUUUAUCAUGUUACGCCAUCAAGUUGCUCCUCAUAAAAAAUCAAACUGAAGUUUCCAUCACUAUGAAUAUAUGUCGAUAGUUUAAUUUAGUCCAAAUUUAUGUGCAUUUAAACUAGAUUGGUAUAGCAACAAGAUGCUAAUUACUUUGAAGUUGUUUGUCUUUGGCUCUAUGAACAAGAUCAGUGAACAUCGAUUAGCCACGAUUUCAAUACACGUCUGUAAUAGAAAUAUUAAAAUCUUUCUUAUCAACUAGAAGAAAGGAAAGAAGUUCCUCUUAUACGAUGAUGGCAAUCGCUGAUCAUGGUGGUUGGGAUUAUUUUAUAAAGAAACAAUUCACACUUAGCAACUUUAUCUUGCGUUGCAUCUGUGUUUCGACUGUCUAAAUUGGCCAUCUUUUUUCUUUAGGGUGGGUAAGACCUGAGGUUGCUACUUUGUUAUAACUGCUUGUAAGCCAAACAGGUAGUAUAUGAAGAACUCAAGAAGAUAAUUCCACUCCAGUAGCCCCUGCUACAAUUCUGGCUUUUGGUUAUUCCCUCAAGAAGCUUCCCAGAUAUCAAAAAAACUUUCAUGGCUGUCGAUCGCAGAGCCGAGACGACCUUGUUUAGUGAACUAGAACAUCAAGAGGUUGAUGCUAUUGUUUUGGAGUUGGCGGAGGAAAUUUCGUAUGAAAGGGAUGCCGCUGAAGUUGACAGUGCCUAUCAUCUGCAUUUGCAACUUGUUUCUGGGGUCCAACUUUCACUUCCAGAGAGGAUUGAUGUUGACGAGAACGCGCUUAUUUCAUUAUCCAGAGGACACUCUCAGACAACUAAGGGCGAAGACCUUAUCGUUGACUUUGAGUCUUCAUGUGUCUGUAUUCCGACAUUCAUUGAAUGGCCUCGACUGACUUUCCGACCCCCUCUAUUGGUCAUUCACAGCAACAACGGUCUUCUUCAUGCUCCGUUUUCCUUUGGACUUAGUAGCUAACAUGAAAAAAAACUAGUUUGUCCUUAUACAUUGAUGAAUGAUGCUAGAAACAGUAGUGUUAGUUCAUAAAAUUGGUUUAUUAAGUGCAUUAGGCAUUUAAACGAGUGAGCCAAAUUUAAACGAUAACAGAAGUUCGCCAUACGGACAAGUACACCAACUUUGUAAAUCAAUUUUGUUUCUCACAUUGCUCUAAAUUUAUUAUUUGAGCAAGCACUUAUCUAGAUGUGGAGGAAUGCGUCCUUGAAAGUUAUUCCUAUCAAGAUACAGAUAAAUCAAUUUGCUUAGAUUUUUGCAUGAAAAUGCAGUUACCCCAGAGAGAUUGUUGAUCGAGAGACAUACGUAAGAUUUUGAAUAUUCUUCAAGUCAAAUGGGAUUGUACAUGAAAGAUCGUUGCCAUCCUCAUACAACUUUUCUAAGUUCACGAGAUUCUCAAUUGCUCUUGGGAUCUCGCCGGUUAUAUUAUUCACGACCUCCUCUUCAGAAAAAGGUUUGGGCAAGAAAAAACCAGAAUAGGAGAAAACGAGAAAUAAGAUAAAUGUACCCACGGAAGAGGCUUUCUCAGAAAAAGAGAGGUAAUUAUGCAGUUGCAUGAUUCCCGCACAAGGGAUUCGCCAUCUUUUUACAGGUGAUGUACCAAUGAUUCUCUAGUGCAAGUAGAAAAUAAAGGGAAAAUUUUAGAAUCUAUAGUGAAGUGCACAGCCAUAAGUCAGAACCCUUGAUUUGUACACAAAAAUUUUUCAAAGAUAGAAACUCGGAACUUCAGAUGUCUAAGCUUACACCGUCUGNNNNNNNNNNNNNNNNNNNNNNNNNNNNNNNNNNNNNNNNNNNNNNNNNNNNNNNNNNNNNNNNNNNNNNNNNNNNNNNNNNNNNNNNNNNNNNNNNNNNNNNNNNNNNNNNNCAUAUGGAUAUAAUGGCCGUCUUCCUAUUCUUUUCUAAGGCAGAGUGAGGAGUACUAUCCGAUUAGUCGACUUUUUUCUAUUUUGUCCGUGCAGUGGACUAAAAUGUCUUGAAAUUCCUAUUAAUGAGAGGAAAUUUGUUCAUUUAAUCCAUUUGAUGAACUUGAUUAUCAUGAUUUGGUCUUCAUCAUAAAUUUGAUAAUGACUAUUACCUUUACUUCCAAGUUAUUUGUGUUGGCGAUGCAUGUUUCACUUAAAACUAGAUUUCUGCCAAUGAAAGUCAUUCCCGCUUGGUGAGAUGAUGCAAUAACAUAAUUUGCUCUCCCAAGUGGAGGAUUUAGGUAAUGUAGGACUUAAGUUUGCAUCGUACAUGAAAGUAUCCAGAAAAACUCACGUAGUAGUCUUUUUCCCUAGACAUACAUCGCGCGGGAUGUGCCAGCAUAAUGUCUACUCGUAUUAAUAGAUAAUUGAACUAUUUAACUAGCAUAAAAGUUAGAAAAGGAUAAAUGUAUCGUUCAGAUAACUUUUAGAGACAUAUACUGGCUUGCCUGUAAGCCUUUUCUUUUCAAUAAUCCGGAUAUACAGUACAGCUGUAUGGAUGACAGCAUCAUUCCUAAUACUUCGUUCUCCUCUCUCAUGCCAACUUUCGUCUUAAAGGAAUAAUGAAACACACCUAUGUUCUUCACGGUCUAAACUAUUCAUAGUCUACAUCAGAACAUUCACCAACCUCACAGCACGUUAGAGAAGCAGUUGUCCCACAUUUGCAUCAGAGAUGAAGACCUUCUGCCACGUCUCCCUACCUCCCGGAGGACGAAGACAUUGUCAUUGAAUUCGAGUUAACUAAAGGUUCCCAUAUGCCAUAGUGGUUCCAAGCCACUUUGGUUCAUCGGAUGGCUCCACUAUUUUUCCAAGCCACUUUGGUUCUGCAUGAUGAUUUUAUUACUUUCAUGGCUCCAUCUUCGCAUUACCAGAUAAUUGAGUUUAUCCAGAUAUGAAAAAAGAAAAAAAUGCGUAAUGUCAGGUGCUUGUCAAUGCAUAACUGGUUCAGUUUGGCAUGAUUUGCAGGAUGUACUAAAAAAACUUACUGCUUUAGUAUAACUCCUAUCCUCCUAAGCCAGCUGCGUAAAGUCUGUCCCUAAUCGAACAUAGUUGAGCUGUCACAUCUGUGAUGCUCAUUCGAUCUCUUGGGACUCCAACUGAGCAGGCAAUCCCAAUUUUGUAGAUCAUCAGCAGACAAUUUUGGAUUGUACUCUUUCUGCUUUGGCCUGCAUUGCUCUCUACUUCUUGAACUAGAAUGGGAUCAGUAAUCGCUAGGACUCGUUUAGGUAAAGCUUCCUCGACAAAAUUAUGAAGGUUGAAAUUUUCUUUGAAUAUCUCAGCUGUCGGACUAAUUCCUGUGAACAUUUCUAGCAUGAGGAUGCCAUAACUAUAGACAUCCCCUUCAAUGGAAACCCCACUUCCCAUUCCAUAUUCUGCACUUAACAAGAACCACAAAUGGUUGAAUUAUGAGAAAAUAGCAUGUGCACAAUCUCAUUUUGAAGUCAAUCUCAUUUUGAAGUCCAAAGUUCUGUAAAAAGAUGCAUCAGCAAUUUUGUGAUAAACAAAUUCUUCAUUUGAGGCAGCUAAGGACACAAUGGGACAUACCUGGAGCAACAUAACCAAUUGUUCCUCUCAAACCAGCUGAGCUUAUAUUUGUGUUCGUGUAAGAAGUGGGUUCAAGGAUGAAUUUUGCCAAUCCAAAGUCACCAACAUGUCCAACCAUCUCUGUGUCUAAAAGGACAUUGCUUGGCUUUAGAUCACAAUGAACUAUGGUGUUGUGGCAUUGGUUAUGAAGAUAUUCCAAUGCAAAAGCAAUGUCGAUGGUAAUCUUUAUCCUUUGAAUGAGAUUCAAAAUUUUUGAGGGCCCAUCCACAUCAGCUGGUAUUGGACAUGGGUGCAACCACUCUUUGAGGCUACCAUUCACCAUGAACUCAUAGACAAAAGCCUUAAAGUCAUAUCCGUUAUAAUCAAUACCUGAGCAUACUGUUAGUAUCUUCAAAAGAUUUCGGUGUUUGAUACACUUUAGGGCCUCACACUCAGAUUUGAAGCUCUUGAAAGCGCCAUGGCGCAUUAAAUUAAGCACCUUCACGGCAACAUUAGUCCCACUCUCCUGGAGUAUUCCCUGGUAAACGGAUCCAAAACUACCAACACCGAUCAAAUUAGUUGAAGAAAAACCAUUAGUUGCUUUGAGAAGAGUUCCAUAAGAUAAGUUUGGCCAGCUCUCAGCUAUGGAACUUGAAGUUGGUUCUUGUGCUUUCUUCUUCUUCAGCCAACAUACAUACACAAAAAUGAGAACAAGAACCACCCCAAGAAGCCCAAAAAUAAUAGAGAGCAAGAAUUUCAAUUUAUGAACUACUCCUUUGCCCUUGGAGUGUCCGGAGACGCAUUUAGGUCGCCGAAAUUCUGGGAUUCCUCCACAUAUCUUGUUGUUUCCAGCAAUAAAAGUGGCACUCGCAUUCUUGAAGACUCCUUCGGUUGGUAACAUGCCUUCAAAAUUGUUAUAGGAUAAAUUUAGAAAUUUCAAGAAAUCGAAUGCCGCUAAGAACUUCGGAAUCUCACCUGAGAGAUUGUUAUUCGAAAGAUCCAAUUCCUCAAUACUUCUUAAUGAGCUAAUUGAUUGAGGAAUGGAUCCUUGGAAGUGAUUAUCCUUCAUUACUAAUAUUACUAAUGCAUUACAAUCGCCUAGAGUGCUUGGAAUUUCACCACUAAACAUAUUGCCUGAGAUGUUCAAAGUAUCUAAAUGGCCAAUUUGCCCCACUUCCACCGGAAGGGCCCCGCUCAAAUGGUUGUUAGACAAAUCUAAAUAAAUGAGACUUUUAAUCGCCGGGAAUAUGGAACCACUGAGAUUGUUGUGAGAAAGAUCGAGCUCCAUUAGAUUACAAUUAUCUAGAUGUGAAGGUAUGUGUCCGUGAAAUUGAUUCCCGGGAAGAAGUAAUUUAAUCAAUCGCUUCAUCUUCUGCAAAGAUGAUGGAAUUACCCCAGAUAGAUUGUUAUAGGAGAGACUCAAAAUUGCCAGAUUUUGAAGAUUACCCAAAUCAAUCAGGAUAGCACCUGAAAAACUGUUGUAUUCCAUUGCCAAGAUCUCCAAGUUCACAAGAUUGCCGAUUUCUCUAGGAAUCUCGCCAAUGAUAAGAUUUCCUCCGAAAUAUAAUUCUUUGAUAGCAAUGGAGAAAUUACCAAUGCAUCUCGGCAAUAGCCCACCGAAUCUAUUACCAGCAACACUUGAGACAAGUAAGCUAGUGAUAUUGGUUAAUGAGCAAAGGAAUUUCAAGUCACCAGAUCCCCCACUUCCGAGGCGAUUAAAUUGAAUGUUCAACAUUUGAAGUUUACGCAAACUUUCAAAAGAUGGUACUUUCCCGAAGAGUUUGUUGCUUGAAAGUUGAAUAUCCUUAGCUUUGUAGCAUUAUUAGGUAUCCACGGGGGGAUUGAGCCAACAAAUUGGUUUGAGGCGAUGCUGAAAAAUUGUAAGUUGGGGAGACCAAAGCCUAUUAUAGUGGGAAGACUUCCAUGUAAUUGGUUAUAACCUACAUCAAAUACUUCCAACGAAGAUAAAUUGAAGAGGGAAGGUGGAACCGUACCAGACAACCUGUUCUGUACCAAAGCAAGUGUCGAUAGUUUGGUCAGUUGGCCUAGAGCCCGAGGAAGACUCCCGCCUAAGUAAUUCCGGCAAAGAUGAACCUGCUCCAAUGAUGAUAAGUUGCCAAUUGAAGAAGGGAUACUUCCUCUUAGAUUAUUUGCUAUUCCAUGAAGAAAGCGAAGCUUCGCCAAAGAACCUAUUUCUAGAGGCACUUCUCCACUCAAUUGGUUUCUAGACAAUCUGACAAGGAGGAGGUCGAGGCAACCUGAUAUGUUCUUGGGGAUUUCACCCGUGAGAAAAUUAGCGGCUAGCGACAAGUUGUGUAACCGGUGCAACCGCCCGAUUUGCGGAGGAAUUUCAUGGUAAAAGCUAUUAUUAUAGAGCAACAAUACCCUUAAGAAGCUAAGGUUCCCAAUAUGAGGGGAGAUAGACCCUAAGAGUUUCUGGGAAUACAGGGCCAACACGGUGACUUUGUUGGGGUGCCGACGACUGCAUGUGACGCCAUACCAUUGGCAAAGGUUGACGGUAUUAUUCCAGGAGCUAAGCACCCCGAAGGGAUCCUCAGUUAUCCCAGCCUUGAAUGCAAGCAAUGCGGAUUUGUCGGUUUCAUUUGAUGAUGAGGAGACUCGUACAAGGCACGAUGCAAUAGCAAUCGCAAAAAUGAAGCUAUGAAAUUCUAAGUUUGCAGAACUAAAGCCCAAGAUCUGCAUAACUCAAAGCAGAAGUGUGCUGAAGUGAUGUAGUCGGAGAUUAAGAAGGGAUGAGAGAUGGGAUGUGUAAUUUAGCUGUGGGUUAGCCACCACGUUGAGAAGAGAUUUAUAGUGGGGGAGGAUCUAGGAGAGAGCCUCCUCUUUUGGUCUCACACAAGCCAUUUAAUGAAGAAAAAUGUGACAUUCCUCCUAACCGUCUCUCUAGGGCAGAAUUAAUGAAGACAGACAUCGGCUGAAAUCGACUUUCCACAACAAGCAAAUGAGAAUUAAUAGGAAAAGAGCGUGCCAUGAUUUGAAUAAAAUAGACAGAUUAGUAGCAGAUUGACUUGAGUAAUCAGUGGCGGAUUGACUUGAGUCAUCUCCUUCUAUGUUUCCUUUUGCAAGUAAUUUCUGAGAAUUUUUACCAAGCACUUAGAUUUUGGAAAUUGUUCUCCACGUAGGCACCGGAUGUUAAUGACGGAUACCUACAACUGCCCGUUCGAAUUGGUCGUCAUAAAUUCUUCCGAGGACCAAAAAUAAUAUUGACGCAUCUCUACCAAUAUUAAGGAAUUAAGGGUAAUAUUCAUCCACGAACUAGCUUUUGUAAUUCAAAAGAAAGGAGAAAACUAGGUAUUUUCUCUCGCUCUACCUUCUUCCACCAAACAAUAAACUCUGGCUUGAAGAAGACGAAAAUAAAAGUGAAUAUAUGAGUAAGGCCCGGCUGAGGAGACCAUUUGCGUUUUACAUUAUCAAGAUUCUCUAAGCUUACAUCGCUCUAAGUAGUGAGUAGAUGUCAAAACGCGCCCUAAACAAUGGAAACUACAUGAUCACGAGAAUAAGGAACAAGUCGACAAGAAGGGUACAGUUUUCUAAAGCUUGUUCACCAUAACUCCCGUUCAUAAAAAAAAAGGAGAGUUUAGCUAGAUUCGCCGACAUUAACUAAUACACGGACCUCAAUAAGAGGCCCUCAACAGCCAGCCUUCCUAACCAACUCGUACAAUUUAUACCAUCAACAUGAAGCCCCCUGAAGUCCUUUCCGGGAACAUUUCUCUUCAUCAAUCCUGCGGAUCCCGAUUCAAAACAAUGGAUGACUCCAAUUCAUCACUGCACCUACCUACAAUCGCCUGCCACGC
rnacentral:lncRNA from 1 species